UAGUGCCCUGACCUGCCC
rnacentral:misc_RNA from 1 species